AUGCCCUCAGCGCCACCUCCUCCUCUCUCACCUCCAUCCUCCUCCUCCCACCCAGAUCCUUCCUCCUCCUCGUCCUCUUCGUCCUCCUCGUCCUCCUUCUCUCCCUUUUCCCCUCAAACCCAUUCCAAUCUUUUCUUAAAUUUAUUUUUCCCCCAAAUCCCCUCUAAAAUCCCUUUUUUUAAAUUCAAAGUUUUUCUGAACUCCCUUUUCCCCAAAAAUCCACGUUUUAUCACCAAAAAUCCCCUUUUAACCCCCAGCUCCCACCCCAAAAUCUCAUUUUUUAGCCUCCAAAAUCUCCUUUAUUCCCCCCAAAAAUCCCAUUUUUUCCCCCGAAAAAUCCUUUUUUCCACCGAAAAAUCCUUUUUUUUUCCCCCCGAAAAAUCCCCUUUUUUUCUUAAAAAUCCCCUUUUCUUCCCCAAAAAAUGUUUUUCUUUCCCUCUUUUUGCUCUGAAAAUCUCAUUUUUUACCCCCCAAAAAUCCCAUUUUUACCCACAAAAAUCCCAUUUCCCCCCAAAAAAUCCCUUUUUUCCCCAAAAAUCCAUUUCCCCCCAAAUUUUCCUAAAAUCCCAUUUUUUUAUCCCCCAAAAUCCCUUUUUUAAACAAAAUAAUUUUUUUCCUCAAAAAAAUCCAUUUUCCCCCAAAAAAUUCAUUUCCCCCCCCAAAAAUCCCAUUUUUACCCCCCAAAAACCAUUUUUUUCCAAAAACUCAUUUUCCCCCCAAAUUUUCCCAAAAUCUCUUUUUUUUUACCCCCCAAAAAUCCCAUUUUUCCCCCAAAAAAUCCCAUUUUCCCCAUUUUCCCCAUUUCCCCUCCAAAUUUUCCCAAAAUCUCAUUCUUUUACCCCCCCCAAAAAUGCCAUUUUUCCCCCAAAAAUCCGGUUUUUUUCCCCCAAAAAAUCACAUUUUUUCCCAAAAAAUCCAGUUUUUUCCCCAAAAAUCCCAUUUUCCCCUCAAAUUUUCCCAAAAUCUCUUUUUUACCCCCAAAACAUCCCGUUUUUCCUCAAAAAACCCAUUUUCCCCCCAAAAUCCCAUUUUUCCCCAAAAAAUCACAUUUUUCCCCAUAAAAUCGCAUUUUCCCCUAAAAAUCCCUUGUUUCCCUAA
rnacentral:lncRNA from 1 species